rnacentral:rRNA from 1 species
GCUUAUGGCCAUACCACCCUGAACCCGCUUGAUCUCGUCUGAUCUCGGAAGCUACGCAGGGUCGGGCCUGGUUAGUACUUGUAUGGGAGACCACCUGGGAAUACCAGGUGCUGUAAGCU